ensembl:misc_RNA 7SK 7SK RNA
GCAUGUCAGGGAUAAAUACUGAUCUAUCUGUGACAUAUGUCACCCCAUUGAUCGCCAGGGUAAUUUGGCUGGCUAGGCGGGUGUCCCCUUCCUCCCUCACUGCUCCAUGUGCGUCCCUCCCGAAGCUGCGCACUAGGUCGAAGAGGAUGACCUUCUUCUAAUAGAGAGGAUCAGUUUUCUGUCAAGAGUAUAUGAGUAGCUGCGCUCCCUGCUAGAACCUCCAAACAAGCUCUCAAGGAAGCACUCUUGUAGAGGGCACAAUUUGGGGCAUAUCAGGAACUCUUGGGUCUCC